CCCGUCACAUCACGAAAGUGGAUUGUACUAGAAGUCUGCGCGCUGACCGCAAGGGGGCAGCGGCCCAAGGUAUGAUUCAUGAUUGGGGUG
rnacentral:rRNA from 1 species